rnacentral:rRNA from 1 species
CACGCUGUAAACGAUGGAUGCUAGGUGUAGGAGGUAUCGACCCCUUCUGUGCCGGAGUCAACACAAUAAGCAUCCCGCCUGGGGAGUACGGCCGCAAGGUUGAAACUCAAAGGAAUUGACGGGGGCCCGCACAAGCAGCGGAGCAUGUGGUUUAAUUCGAAGCAACGCGAAGAACCUUACCAGGUCUUGACAUCGAUGCGACCUGUAGAGAUACAGGGUACCCUUCGGGGAGCAGAAGACAGGUGG